UACGGAAGGCAGCAGUGGGGAAUAUUGCACAAUGGGCGCAAGCCUGAUGUAGCCAUGCCGCGUGUAUGAAGAAGGCCUUCGGGUUGUAAAGUACUUUCAGUCGUGAGGAAGGUGUUAAGGUUAAUAACCUUAGCAAUUGACGUUAGCGACAGAAGAAGCACCGGCUAACUCCGUGCCAGCAGCCGCGGUAAUACGGAGGGUGCGAGCGUUAAUCGGAAUUACUGGGCGUAAAGGGCACGCAGGCGGUUAAUUAAGUUGGAUGUGAAAUCCCCCGGGCUUAACCUGGGAAUGGCAUUCAAGACUGGUUAGCUAGAGUCUUGUAGAGGGGGGUUAGAAUUCCAUGUGUAGCGGUGAAAUGCGUAGAGAUGUGGAGGAAUACCGGUGGCGAAGGCGGCCCCUGGACAAAGACUGACGCUCAUGUGCGAAAGCGUGGGGAGCAAACAGGGAUUAGAUA
rnacentral:rRNA from 1 species